GCGCAGCAGUCGAGAAUCUUCCCCAAUGGGCGAAAGCCUGAGGGAGCGACGCCGCGUGCGGGAUGAAGGGCUUCGGCCUGUAAGCCGCUUUUAUUUGGGAAGAAGUGCAAACUGACGGUACCAAAUGAAUAAGAGGUUGCUAACUCUGUGCCAGCAGCAGCGGUAAUACAGAGACCUCAAGCGUUAUCCGGAUUUAUUGGGCGUAAAGCGUCCGCAGGUGGUUCGUUAAGUCAAUGGUCAAAUCACGGGGCUCAACCCCGCAACUGCCAUUGAUACUGGCGAGCUUGAGGCCGGUAGAGGUAAGCGGAAUUACAGGUGUAGCGGUAAAAUGCGUUUAUAUCUGUAAGACACCAAAGGCGAAAGCAGCUUACUGGAACGGUCCUGACACUCAUGGACGAAAGCGUGGGGAGCGAAAAGG
rnacentral:rRNA from 1 species